CCUACGGGUGGCUGCAGUGGGGAAUAUUGGACAAUGGGCGAAAGCCUGAUCCAGCCAUGCCGCGUGUGUGAAGAAGGCCUUCGGGUUGUAAAGCACUUUCAGUGGGGAAGAAAGCCUUGGGGCUAAUACCCUCGAGGAAGGACAUCACCCACAGAAGAAGCACCGGCUAACUCCGUGCCAGCAGCCGCGGUAAUACGGAGGGUGUGAGCGUUAAUCGGAAUUACUGGGCGUAAAGCGCGCGUAGGCGGUCUGAUAAGCCGGUUGUGAAAGCCCCGGGCUCAACCUGGGAACGGCAUCCGGAACUGUCAGGCUAGAGUGCAGGAGAGGAAGGUAGAAUUCCCGGUGGAGCGGUGAAAUGCGUAGAGAUCGGGAGGAAUACCAGUGGCGAAGGCGGCCUUCUGGACUGACACUGACGCUGAGGUGCGAAAGCGUGGGUAGCAAACAGGAUUAGAUACCCGGGUAGUC
rnacentral:rRNA from 1 species